UACGGAGGGUGCAAGCGUUGUUCGGAUUUACUGGGCGUAAAGCGCGCGCAGGUGGGUGUGCAAGUCGGAAGUGAAAUCCCAGGGCUCAACCCUGGGGCUGCUCCCGAAACUGCACGCCUAGGGACUGGUAGAGGCUGGUAGAAUUCCCGGUGUAGCGGUGGAAUGCGUAGAGAUCGGGAAGAAUACCCGUGGCGAAGGCGGCCAGCUGGGCCAGGUCCGACACUGAGGCGCGAAAGCGUGGGGAGCAAACAGG
rnacentral:rRNA from 1 species